rnacentral:misc_RNA from 1 species
GAUGAAGAACGCAGCGAAAUGCGAUAAGUAAUGUGAAUUGCAGAAUUCAGUGAAUCAUCGAAUCUUUGAACGCACAUUGCGCCCGCUAGUACUCUAGCGGGCAUGCCUGUUCGAGCGUCAUUUCAACCCUCAAGCCCUGCUUGGUGUUGGGGCCCUACGGCUGCCGUAGGCCCUGAAAGGAAGUGGCGGGCUCGCUACAACUCCGAGCGUAGUAAUUCAUUAUCUCGCUUAGGGUGUUGUGUGGUGCUCCAGCCGUUAAAGACCAUCUUUAACUCAAGGUUGACCUCGGAUCAGGUAGGAAUACCCGCUGAACUUAAGCAUAUCAAUAAGCGGAGGA